rnacentral:rRNA from 1 species
UACGGGGGGGGCAAGCGUUGUUCGGAAUUACUGGGCGUAAAGGGCGCGUAGGCGGCCUGCUAAGUCGGAUGUGAAAUCCCUCGGCUCAACCGAGGAACUGCAUCCGAUACUGGCGGGCUUGAAUCCGGGAGAGGGAUGUGGAAUUCCAGGUGUAGCGGUGAAAUUCGUAGAUAUUCGCAAGAACACCAGUGGCGAAGGCGGCCGACUGGUCCGGUUCUGACGCUGAGGCGCGAAAGCGUGGGGAGCAAACAGG